UGCUUCCCAAAAUUCAUAUGUUGACACCUUAACACUCAGCACCUAAGGAUGUGACUAUAUUUGGAGAUAGUGUCAUCACAGAGAGGAGAUAAGGAUACAGAUGUGCACACAGAGAAACAGCCAUGUGAGGACACAAGGAGAAGGCAGCCACUUACAACCCCAGGAGAGAGGCCUUGGAAGAAACCCACCUUGCCCACACCUUGAUCUUGGACUUCACCCUCCUUCAUCAAUUGGAAGCUGCUGAUCCUGAAUACUUUCCAAAUGCUGGAUGGUACAGAGGUGAGGGGACAGCACAGACCUCAGGGUGAAAUGUUGGGGAUAGAAAACAUUGCUGUUUUCUAUCCCCAACAGACACCUGUGCCAGUCUUUAUUGGUGUUUUGUAUUCCCCUUUCCUGUGGAUAGUGUAAUUUUAAAAUUUUUGUUUACAUAGAAGAUAACAUAAAAGUAAACAAUAAAAUUUAAAAAAAGAGGAAAACUCAAAUAAUAGUGUUUGGGGAGGGUGACAGUGAAGGUGGGAGGGUCACAUAACAAUGGAGGUGGAGUCUUUUGACUCCAUCAAUGUCCUGUUGUGUUUGUGUAUCAGAACCUAUAGUAGCAAUUGUCAGGUUACGUGUUUUUGUCCUUGCCUGCUCCUUAAGUGCCAGAGGGGAUUAUUCUAAAUUGGGUGAGGAACAGGUAGAGAAGUGUAAGUGAGACAAACUUGCCUGCCAUUUGCCACAGUGGCAGGGCAGAAUUCAUCAUGAGUGCCUCUACCCUCUGAUGUCCAAAAAGUUUAACUCUGUAGGUAAUUUUUAUUGGCUGCCAAUUUAGAAGCAUCUGCCUUCAUGCUCCUGUCUAGAAUGGUAACAUCUCUCUGCCAGGAGCUGAUAAAAUCCCCAAUAUCCCAUAGUCCUGUUUUCCAGUUAAGAUUCACGGGGACUAUGUGGGCAGAUUUACAUAGUUCACUUCUUCCAGCAGCCAAGGAAUACUUGAUAUUGUUUUCAUUUGAACCCUCUGAGAGAGGGAGUCAGCCUCCACAUAGAGGUGCCCCUUAAAGUUUUUGAAACAUAGUCUUCCUGACACCACUACUUACACUGAUUUGAAAGUCAUUGAUGAGCUUGCUUUGAAGCUCCUGUAAAACUUAAUCCUGACACAUCAAGGGCUUGGGACUUCCCAGCUUGAUAUUCCAAUUCUGAAGUGAGUAAAUUUGAGUUCUCCAAGACAUCAGAAUGCCACAUAGAAUAUAACAUAUUUUAAAGGAAAAUUGGACUGUCACAGGAACUUCUUAGCUGUAAUAGAAAAAUUAGGUUCUUUGGUGAAAACUUUAUGCUCCUUGAUAUGGUUUGGUUGUGUUUCCACCCAAAUCUCAUCUUGAGUUUUAGCUCCUGUAAUUCCCAAGUUUUGUGGGAGGGGUCAGUAGGAGAUAAUUGAAUCAUGGGGUCACAUUUCCCUAUAGUGUUCUGGUGGUAAUAAAUAAGUCUCACGAGAUCUGAUGGUUUUAUAAGGAGAAACCAUUUUUUACUUUACUUUACUCUCAUUCUCUCUUCUUUUGUCUGCCACCAUGUGAGACAUGCAUUUCAUCUUCUGCCAUAAUUGUAAGGCCUCUCCAGCACGUAAAACUGUAGGUCCUUUAAAACUCUUUCUUUUGCAAAUUGCCCAGUCUCAGGUAUGUCUUUAUUAGCAGGAUUAAAAUGAACUAAUAGAUCCCACUCCACUGUUUAAAGCAAAACUCCUGGCUUUAUGGGGUCUUCAAUUUACUGAAUGUUUUCUAGAUGCUUGCCCCUAAUUCCCUGAUGAGUCAAGAAAUCUGCCACCUUAAGGUGCUUACUGGGUGGCUGUGGAUGUCUAACCUCAGUGCCAGCCACACAGAACCUGAAGCAGGGGUGGUUGCUCCUCUUAAUGUGAGGCCCAGAGAAGAGUUGGCGAAUCCUGUUGGGCUAGGAGGAGGAAUAGGAGUAGUAUUAGUUAGACCAAAUGGUAGAACAGGACCUGUGGGUUCAGCUUCUCCUGGGAAUUCCAUCUCUCUGUGAUGUAGACCUGGAAUCCCAGUGAACAUCCUGCAUCCUCAGUGGCCAGCUGUCUGAGGCCACAGUUGUUUCUGAUGAUCGAGGACAAGGAGACUUACCACCCCAUGGCUGAGGCAUUCACAAAAAAAUUAGCUCACAUUAUGUUUUGCUUGUUUGCAAGUCAACAAGAAGAGGUCACUGAGGAUGUCUAACUGAUUCUGUCCACUCAGGAAUGUUUUGGUCUACCCUUUAAUUCACUUUAAAAAUCAUUUUGUAAUUUUUAUCUCCCAUCCAAUAUGUAAGUUGUCAAUUACUUUUAUAUGUAUGCAAACAUCCUUUAUGUAUAAUUUCUAGGCAUAUUACUAGUGAACAUUGAUUGUUACACAGA
rnacentral:lncRNA from 1 species